AUUUCAGAUGCUCUCUACCUUCUCUCUCUAGGGUUUCACUUCUGCACGUGGAGGUUUUCGUCUCUUCCCUGAAUUAGUAAAUGUGUCACCGUCGAAGAUUUCUAUUUUAUGCAAAAAAAUAAGAAUGAUUUUUCUAACUGUGAUUUUCAUUUUUUUGGGUUGUGGUUUCAGAUUCUCUGAAAAUAUGCUUUGUUUCAUUUUUACUUAUUUUUAUCAAAGAACAAUGUUCUUUCUCGUCUCUCGAUCUCAAUAUAUUUCUUAUUGUACCAGUGACAUACACAUAUUUUUGAGCCCCAUUUUUAGCGAAGUAUAUUUUUUGCAAUAUUAAAUUGAUGAAUAAUGUAUGGUUAAAAAAUGAGGAAUUUUUUUUUAUUGUAUGGUUGAAGAGAAAAGGAGAAAAAUGUAUUUUGAAAUAAUGAAAUCAUACAAGCCCUAAUAUUUUUUCGCAAUGAGUGUACUGUGUAAAUGGUGAGACAGAAGAUUCAGAUCAAGAAGAUUGAUAACUUGAUGGCACGCCAAGUCACUUUUCAAAGAGAAUAAGAGGGGUUUUCAAAAAAGCUCAAGAACUCUUUACUCUUUCUGAUGCUGAGGUUGCCCUAAUUGUUUUUCUGCAACUGGUAAACUCAUCCAUUAUUCUAGCUCAAGG
rnacentral:lncRNA from 1 species